rnacentral:ncRNA from 2 species
GACAGCCUUGGGAGAGCGACCCAUGAGCUGGCAGAACCCUGUCUCCUGCGUGAGCGAUCGCGGGAGACAUCGUUCUGUGGAACAGAACCCGAAGAGACUUGGUGGGUUUGCAGCGAAGCUCUGUGUCAGGCCGAACUUGUACAUACAGUCACCGCAUCGCUCGGGAAGAGCAAGCUCUUCCCGCGGUUUCUGUGGUCCUU